rnacentral:rRNA from 1 species
UACGUAGGGGGCAAGCGUUGUCCGGAAUUAUUGGGCGUAAAGAGCGCGUAGGCGGUCCGAUAAGUCGGCUGUGAAAGUCCAGGGCUCAACCCUGGAAAGCCGGCCGAUACUGUCGGACUAGAGUCCGGAAGAGGCAAGUGGAAUUCCCGGUGUAGCGGUGAAAUGCGCAGAUAUCAGGAGGAACACCCGUAGCGAAGGCGGCACUCUGGGCCGAUACUGACACUGAGGAGCGAAAGCGUGGGGAGCGAACAGG